CGGCAGCACGGGGGCAACCCUGGUGGCGAGUGGCGAACGGGUGAGUAACACAUCGGAAUGUACCCAGUAGCGGGGGAUAACUACUCGAAAGAGUUGCUAAUACCGCAUACGCCCUAAGGGGGGAAGGGGGGGAUCGCGAGACCUCUCACUAUUGGAGCAGCCGAUGUCAGAUUAGCUUGUUGGUGAGGUAAAAGCUCACCAAGGCGACGAUCUGUAACUGGUCUGAGAGGACGACCAGUCACACUGGAACUGAGACACGGUCCAGACUCCUACGGGAGGCAGCAGUGGGGAAUUUUGGACAAUGGGGGCAACCCUGAUCCAGCAAUGCCGCGUGAGUGAAGAAGGCCUUCGGGUUGUAAAGCUCUUUUGUCAGGGAAGAAACGGUGUUCACUAAUACUGGGCACUAAUGACGGUACCUGAAGAAUAAGCACCGGCUAACUACGUGCCAGCAGCCGCGGUAAUACGUAGGGUGCGAGCGUUAAUCGGAAUUACUGGGCGUAAAGCGUGCGCAGGCGGUUUUUUAAGACGGAUGUGAAAUCCCCGGGCUCAACCUGGGAACUGCAUUCGUGACUGGAAGGCUAGAGUGUGUCAGAGGGGGGUAGAAUUCCACGUGUAGCAGUGAAAUGCGUAGAGAUGUGGAGGAAUACCGAUGGCGAAGGCAGCCCCCUGG
rnacentral:rRNA from 1 species